GACGAACGCUGGCGGCGUGCUUAACACAUGCAAGUCGAACGGAAAGGCCCUGCUUUUGUGGGGUGCUCGAGUGGCGAACGGGUGAGUAACACGUGAGUAACCUGCCCUUGACUUUGGGAUAACUUCAGGAAACUGGGGCUAAUACCGGAUAGGAGCUCCUGCUGCAUGGUGGGGGUUGGAAAGUUUCGGCGGUUGGGGAUGGACUCGCGGCUUAUCAGCUUGUUGGUGGGGUAGUGGCUUACCAAGGCUUUGACGGGUAGCCGGCCUGAGAGGGGGACCGGCCACAUUGGGACUGAGAUACGGCCCAGACUCCUAUGGGAGGCAGAAGUGGGGAAUAGUGCACAAGGGGCGGAAGCCUGAUGCAGCAACGCCGCGUGCGGGAUGACGGCCUUCGGGUUGUAAACCGCUUUCGCCUGUGACGAAGCGUGAGUGACGGUAAUGGGUAAAGAAGCACCGGCUAACUACGUG
rnacentral:rRNA from 1 species